rnacentral:rRNA from 1 species
UACGUAGGGUCCGAGCGUUGUCCGGAAUUAUUGGGCGUAAAGAGCUCGUAGGCGGUUCGUCGCGUCUGCUGUGAAAUCCCGAGGCUCAACCUCGGGCCUGCAGUGGGUACGGGCAGACUUGAGUGGUGUAGGGGAGACUGGAAUUCCUGGUGUAGCGGUGGAAUGCGCAGAUAUCAGGAGGAACACCAAUUGCGAAGGCAGCUCGCUGGGACGUUACUGACGCUGAGACGCGAAAGCGUGGGGAGCAAACAGG